AGCAAUGCUACACUGGUACAGUUAGGAUCCGAUGCCUCUUCAAGGUUAACAUAGGCUCUCCUUGCCUACUCCUACUCAAUUCGUCCCCGUCAUAGAAAGCGGUAACAUGCCUUCCAAUAUCUGAGCUUAGGUACACGGGGAAACCCAACCCCUUGGUAGGAUGCAAGCCACCCCCAAUAUAACAAGC
rnacentral:ribozyme from 1 species